UACGUAGGGUGCGAGCGUUGUCCGGAAUUAUUGGGCGUAAAGAGCUCGUUGGCGGUGUGUCGCGUCGGCCGUGAAAACCUGCAGCUUAACUGUGGGCUUGCGGUCGAUACGGGCAUCACUGGAGUUCGGCAGGGGAGACUGGAAUUCCUGGUGUAGCGGUGAAAUGCGCAGAUAUCAGGAGGAACACCGGUGGCGAAGGCGGAUCUCUGGGCCGAUACUGACGCUGAGGAGCGAAAGCGUGGGGAGCGAACAGG
rnacentral:rRNA from 1 species